UACGUAGGGUGCGAGCGUUUGUCCGGAAUUAUUGGGCGUAAAGGGCUCGUAGGCGGUCUGUUGCGUCGGGAGUGAAAACUCAGGGCUUAACCCUGAGCCUGCUUCCGAUACGGGCAGACUAGAGGUAUGCAGGGGAGAACGGAAUUCCUGGUGUAGCGGUGAAAUGCGCAGAUAUCAGGAGGAACACCGGUGGCGAAGGCGGGUCUCUGGGCCGAUACUGACGCUGAGGAGCGAAAGCGUGGGGAGCGAACAGG
rnacentral:rRNA from 1 species